CACCUCUCAGGGCCGCACCUGGGGAGUUUCCUGCACUCUACCAGUCUUGACUAUAGGAGGGAGAGUCAAGCAGAGGCCUACCCAUUCCAUUCCUAGCUCAGGCAGUGGCUAGAGAGUGGAAGGCAAUCUGCCACAAGU